rnacentral:rRNA from 1 species
CUACGGGGGGCAGCAGUGGGGAAUAUUGCGCAAUGGGCGAAAGCCUGACGCAGCAACGCCGUGUGAGGGAUGAAGGCUUUCGGGUCGUAAACCUCUGUCAGAAGGGAAGAACGGGUAUUGGUCUAAUAGGCCAUUAUUUUGACGGUACCUUCAGAGGAAGCACCGGCUAACUCCGUGCCAGCAGCCGCGGUAAUACGGAGGGUGCAAGCGUUAUUCGGAAUUACUGGGCGUAAAGCGCACGUAGGCCGCUUUGUAAGUCAGGGGUGAAAUCCCACGGCUCAACCGUGGAACUGCCUUUGAAACUGCAGAGCUUGAAUCCUGGAGAGGGUGGCGGAAUUCCUGGUGUAGGAGUGAAAUCCGUAGAUAUCAGGAGGAACACCGGUGGCGAAGGCGGCCACCUGGACAGGUAUUGACGCUGAGGUGCGAAAGUGUGGGGAGCAAACAGGAUUAGAUACCCGGGUAGUC